AGAACACCAGCUAAUGUCUGGUCCCUCAGUCAGUCUCUAGAACACAAGCAUGCAUGCACGUGCACACACACACACGCACGCACUCACACGAUGGGGGGGGGGGGGGAUUAAAGUCUGUCCCCGUGUAACAGUAUCUGAUGGGGCAUUGUCUGGAAGACGGUGUUUCCUGUUCUCUGAAGGCAGGUUUUGCAGAUCCAGAAGGGUCCCCUGCUAUUCUCUUCUUUGUGUAACCGAGUCCAUACUAGCUCAGUGACUGUUUUAGAGGCCAUCCUAGUAGAUGCACAAGAGGUCACUGACAUCUCAUGGGGUGAUCGUCUUCCUCGAACCCUCAAAUAACAGUGGCCAACUUAUGCGAUGGCUCGUUUGAAACCGAAUAAUUGUCGAUACCUAGUCCGCCUUCUGUGGGACGGGGAGAAGCAAGAGUGAAGGGUGGAUGGAAGAGAGAAGUGUUUGAUCCGGUCUGAUCUCAGUUUCCUCCGGCCCAGGAGCAGGGCUGACAGUGGCACAGGCUUUUCUUCCCCAGCCUCUAUCUGUCACCCUCAGGUUGUGCUAAACCAGAAGAACAGGGAGUGCUGAUUGUCCCUCCUGUAGCUCGCCCAGGAGCCUGUGUGGUGGCCUUUAGGCCUGGCCAGCCCAACGUCAUGGUUCCCUCCCCAGCCCUUCUGUUCUGUGUACUUUUCUCUUCCUACGUGUCUCUGUGUAGCGUCUACACUGACAGUUUUAGAGACUUUGUGGGUGGCUGUUGCCUUUUUCAAGCCUUUCAGGAAAAAAAAAUCAUGUAACCGUUUGUCACCCUUGCCAUGGUUGGUGCUAGCAUCUUUUGUGAAGUUUGUUGUUGUUGUUGUUGUUUUUGGUUUUUGAGUUCCAGAUUAUUGGAAUCUUAUUUUAAUUUAUUUUUCUCCGUUGGAAAAUAAAACAGGAAAAAUGAUUUAACAUCCAUCUCACAGAGUUGCUUGACUGUUUAGUUCCAAGGUCCUCCUGUUCAGCUUCUGUUGCUCGUCUUGUUCCUGCUCUGGCUUGCUUUGUUGGUAACAAUGCUGGACCUGGAGCCGAGCGUCUCAUUUACCGGAGCCCAGCGCUCUGUACUGCCACACACUUCUGAAGUUGGAAAAGUGUGAAGAGCUAGGACUUGCCUGAUUCGCUCAUCGUUAUUUUUUUUUCCUCUUUAGCUAGAGGUAAGUGUGGGUGUGUAGGAAAACAAAUGAAGACACCUAAUGUACAUCUAUUCUGAAUUAUGCAAAUUAGCUCUUACUCAGGGUCAACUAAAUUACUUCACUUUGCCCUUUAGUUUACACUUAUUUGGC
rnacentral:lncRNA from 1 species